CGGGACACAAGUGUCAUGGCGCGCUCCAUCUGAAGCCUGUGCAGUUUCCUGACAGUGGCUUGUGGUUUUUCUCUCAGUUUGGACAGAUUCAUCUUUCAAGAGGACUUGAGACCAAUUUCAGAUAAUCAAGUUAUUGCAUAUAAAUGGAACCUCUGUGGGAAAGGCCAACCUGUACCCUCAUGGCUGUGUUGGUGGACCUUUGUUUCUAGGAGGGAAAUGCCCAACUCAAAAGAUGCUAGACUCUAGAGGUAGGUUGGUGGCUCAGAGGGGUGAGCCGAGGAGAGUUGCACCUCAGGGCUCAAAUGCAGUUAUUAUGACUCUUUGUGUCUGCACCUCCUGCUGGGCUUCAUCCCUUAGGUGGGUGGCACAAAGUUCACAAAGUUGGCCUGUUACCCCAACCCCAUCCACUGUCACUCCAGGAAGCUGCCUUUACUGUCGGUUAUAGAAAGGUCUGGCUGGAUGGUCUUGUGACUAUGAACCAAUCGUCGUCUAGGAAAAGGGAGGAUUGACUGACCAUGUGAUGUGCUCAUCACCCUAACAGUUUUAAGGAAGGGUGCUUGGCUCACUUCUUUUUUCCUUUUACUGAUGAC
ensembl:lncRNA